GCUGGGUGGGCAGGCACACGUGUGUCUCAGCGCCAUGCACACGUGUGUGAGCUCAGCCGGC
ensembl:miRNA